ACCGGAUCCGCGGACGGUUUACUGAGCCGGUUAGUACCUCUGCCGACUCAUGUUGCCAUCAUGUCCCGAUACCUGCGCCCCUCCAACACGUCUCUGUUUAUAAGGAACGUGGCCGACGACACCAGGUCCGAAGAUUUACGAAGAGAAUUUGGUCGUUAUGGUCCCAUAGUUGAUGUGUAUGUUCCACUUGAUUUCUACACGCACCGUCCAAGAGGAUUUGCUUAUGUUCAAUUUGAGGAUGUCCGUGAUGCCGAAGACGCUUUAUAUAAUUUGGACAGAAAGUGGAUUUGUGGACGCCAAAUUGAAAUACAGUUUGCACAGGGGGAUCGAAAGACUCCAAAUCAAAUGAAAGCCAAGGAAGGGAGGAAUGUAUACAGCUCUUCACGCUAUGAUGAUUAUGACAGAUACAGACGUUCUAGAAGCCGGAGUUAUGAAAGAAGAAGAUCAAGAAGCCGGUCCUUUGAUUACAACUAUAGAAGAUCUUAUAGUCCUAGAAACAGUAGACCGGCUGGAAGACCACGGCGUAGCAGAAGCCAUUCCGACAAUGAUAGACCAAACUGCAGCUGGAAUACCCAGUACAGGUCUGCUUACUACACUUCAAGAAAGAUCUGAGAAAGCGGAAAAAGAACCAAAGAAGGGCAGUUCAAGCGACCAAAGGGUGGGUGGAAGGUGCUGCAGUAUGAAUACUGUACGAAUAUUUUGACUCUGGUCUGAAAAGAUAAAAGAAUGUUAUCGAAACUACAUGGAAUAAUUGAAGUCCCUUCAAGUUUGAAAGUAAGCAUUUUAGGACAAAUAAAAGGAAAUUCAACUUUGUA